rnacentral:rRNA from 1 species
GACCCCAGGUCAGGCGGGGCCACCCG